GGAAACAAAGACACCUACAUCUUGGAUGCCCUUGAGGUGGUGAAGAAAAAGCGAAGUGAUAAAGUUCAUCCACAAAUAGCUUUUCCAUAAGCUGAGAGCAACAAAGGAGAAGGCUUUCCCAGAGUUCAUCUGAAAAGGUAUUGAGCUUGACUGACACAAUCUUACACGGUUCAGGGGAAGUUUAUGGUUGGAUGCAGCCUCCGUCUGUGGUCAGCAAGUCCUCUCUCUGCAAACAGAAACAGCAGAUGAGAGGGGCAGAGAUUCUUGUUCAAUCCUUCAGUGUUUCUAAACAAGGACAUCCAGCAGAGAACUCAGCCAGAGCCACAAUUACCCCCUAAAUGACCCAUUCAGUGGUUUGAAGCUCUUACCAAAAUAACCGUGAACCCUUACUGUGUACUCUGGUUCAGCUUGAAGAGCUAACAGGGUAUUAGGCUACAUGAUUGCAGUGGUGGAAGAGCAGAGAGGUCCUUACACACUCCUCGUUCAGGGUGUCUCUUGCUGAUCCACACCGGAUGAUGGGAUGGGACAGGAACCAAAAUCAAGCAUCGUGUUUAAGCACCUUCAUGAGUUCAACAUUUUUUCUGCAGAAUUUGACCAAAAUGUAAGUUAUUAGACUUACAUUGAGAAUAGAAUAAUUAUUUCAAGUGAAUUUCUUUUUUUCCUACAU